GGCAGGGUUGGCUCAGGCUCGUGUUGAGGAUGAAGCUGGUCCAGCUGGCAGCCCAGUGGUUUGGAGCAGGGAGAUGGGUACCCGACAUCGACCCUGGGGACGAUGAGCAGUAGGAAGGGGGGCCCCGAAGCUGCAUCAGGGAAGUGGCAGACGCCCUUCCACAGAGCCAACCCGAGCCGCUGCCCCCCUGCUUGGAGUGGGCCUGGACCCCAGAGGCCUCCCGGAUCCCAAGACCUGGAGGGAGGGUGGCAACUGCUCUUCACGCCAAGCCAGGUUAGUCCCUAGCUCCCCAA